rnacentral:rRNA from 1 species
AUGCCAGCAUUAAGAUUUAAAACGUGUCGUCUACUUCCAGGAAAUGUUCGGAACAGAGAACUUUCUCUAAUCCAACGCCGUAUUCUCCGAAGAUUGAGGAACAAGAGGAGAUCCAUUAAAAGAAAUCUUUCUCGGAGAGAAAAUCGAAACAGUAACAUCAAAUCACAAACUACACGAAAGUUGUCUCUUUAUUAUGGGGAUUUACCCAUAAGGGAGAUGCACAGAGGAAGAGAACGAACUUCAUAUAUCCCUUUUUUACUCAAUCAAGAAACAAGAUCGGACGUGAUUCCGGUUCGUCUCCAUUUUAGUGACACUCUUCCUCAAGCAAGGCAGCCGAUAAGUCAUCGAAGGGUUUGUUUGAAUAAUGGACUGGUAACCAUUACUCAUUUGAAAGUUUCCCACAGUGAUCUAAUAUCUUUUAAAGAAAAUGACGCGAGAACCCGCGGUUUUGAAAUAAGGAGAUCUUUCUAUAUCGACAUAUCAGUUGGAAAAAUCAUAGGCAAAUUCCUAUCGGCCAUAUCAGUUGGAAAAAGAAGAGGCAAAUUCCUACCGGCCAGAAUCUGGAGAAGAACAAAAAAAGAAUGGUUCCGCUUACUCACAACUCAGAGGGGAUGCCGCUUACUACUCAAAUCCAAGGAAUUGCAAAAGUUGCGUUCUUAUAUGCAAGAAGAAGACUUUGAAAGAACAAAGAAGUUUGGAUCCGCAAAAGUAUGCUUAGGCAGUUCCUUCGCUGAGCACAACAGAAUGAAGAGGAAUUUGUUUCAUUUCAAAUACUUCUUCUUAUUGAAAAGAGGGAAGGAGAAAAAC